CACGUAGGGGGCGAGCGUUGUCCGGAUUUAUUGGGCGUAAAGAGCUCGUAGGCGGUUCGGCAAGUCGGGUGUGAAAUUUCGAGGCUCAACCUCGAAACGCCACUCGAUACUGCUGUGACUGGAGUCCGGUAGAGGAGUGCGGAAUUCCUGGUGUAGCGGUGAAAUGCGUAGAUAUCAGGAGGAACACCGGUGGUGUAGACGGCUCUCGUGGACCGUAACUGACGCUGAGACACGAAAGCCGUGGGUAGCAAACAGG
rnacentral:rRNA from 1 species